rnacentral:rRNA from 1 species
AUUGAACGCUGGCGGCAGGCCUAACACAUGCAAGUCGAACGAGCGGCGGACGGGUGAGUAAUGUCUGGGGAACUGCCUGAUGGAGGGGGAUAACUACUGGAAACGGUAGCUAAUACCGCAUACCAUCAGAUGUACCCAUAUGGGAUUAGCUCGUAGGUGGGGUAACGGCUCACCUAGGCGACGAUCCCUAGCUGGUCUGAGAGGAUGACCAGCCACACUGGAACUGAGACACGGUCCAGACUCCUACGGGAGGCAGCAGUGGGAAAUAUUGCACAAUGGGCGAAAGCCUGAUGCAGCCAUGCCGCGUGUAUGAAGAAGGCCUUAGGGUUGUAAAGUACUUUCAGCGGGGAGGCGUUACCCGCAGAAGAAGCACCGGCUAACUCCGUGCCAGCAGCCGCGGUAAUAC